rnacentral:rRNA from 1 species
UACGAAGGAUCCAAGCGUUAUCCGGAUUCAUUGGGUUUAAAGGGUGCGUAGGCGGUUUUGUAAGUCAGUGGUGAAAGCCGGUCGCUUAACGAUCGAACUGCCAUUGAUACUGCAGAACUAGAGUACAGAUGACGUUGGCGGAAUGUGUCAUGUAGCGGUGAAAUGCAUAGAUAUGACACAGAACACCGAUUACGAAGGCAGCUGACGAAACUGCAACUGACGCUGAUGCACGAAAGUGCGGGGAUCAAACAGG